rnacentral:rRNA from 2 species
UCGCCUGUUUAUCAAAAACAUCUCUAAAUGUCCUUUAUUUUUAGUAAGACCUGCUCAAUGACCUUUUAAAUUGCCGCAUUCAAUGUGCUAAGGUAGCAUAAUCAUUUGCCUUUUAAUUGUAGGCUUGCAUGAAUGGUUGUUCAUGUAGAUUUCUUUAUUAACUUUAUUUCUUUAAUUUUUCUUAUUAGUUAAAAGACUGAUAUUUGCUAGAAGGACGACAAGACCCUAUCGAGCUUUACUUAUGUUGAACUGGGGCGGUAAAAAACUAAAUCUUUCUUUUUUUCUUUCAAACAUUCUUUUUAUAAAAAUUUUUAAGUUACCGUAGGGAUAACAGCAUAAUUUUCUUUUAAAGUUCUUAUUAAAAAGAAAGUUUAUGACCUCGAUGUUGAAUUAUUUAUCUUUUUGAAGCAAAAUUUAGAAAAGAAAGUCUGUUCGACUUUUAAAACUUUACGUGAUCUGAGUUC